CCUACGGGAGGCAGCAGUGGGGAAUUUUGCGCAAUGGGGGAAACCCUGACGCAGCAACGCCGCGUGAGCGAUGAAGGCCUUCGGGUCGUAAGGCUCUGUCAGAGGGGAAGAAGUGUAUGGGUGUUAAUACCAUCUAUACUUGACGGUACCCUCAAAGGAAGCACCGGCUAACUCCGUGCCAGCAGCCGCGGUAAU
rnacentral:rRNA from 1 species